rnacentral:rRNA from 1 species
UGCAAGUCGUACGGUAAGCUUCGGCUUAUAGUGGCGAAAGGGAGAGUAACGCGUGGUUACAUGCCCUCGGGACCGGGAUAGCGGCGGGAAACUGCCGGUAAUACCGGAUAAUAUCUUUGGAUCAAAGGUGUGAUUCCGCCCGAGGAUUGGACCGCGUUCUAUUAGCUUGUUGGCGGGGUAAUGGCCCACCAAGGCGACGAUGGAUACCGGGUGUGAGAGCAUGGCCCGGCUCACUGGGACUGAGACACUGCCCAGACACCUACGGGUGGCUGCAGUCGAGAAUCUUCGGCAAUGGGGGCAACCCUGACCGAGCGACGCCGCGUGCGGGACGAAGGCCUUCGGGUUGUAAACCGCUGUCAGUUGGGAGGAAGUGCCGGGGGGUUCUCCCCUCGGUUUGACCGAUCUUCAGAGGGAGGACGGGCUAAGUUCGUGCCAGCAGCCGCGGUAAGACGAACCGUCCAAACGUUAUUCGGUAUCACUGGGCUUAAAGCGUGCGUAGGCGGCCUGGUAGGUGAGGUGUGAAAGCCCACGGCUCAACCGUGGAAUUGCGCUUCAAACCACCAGGCUGGAGGAUGGCAGGGGUGAUGGGAACUGAUGGUGGAGCGGUGAAAUGCGUUGAUAUCAUCAGGAACACCGGUGGCGAAGGCGCAUCACUGGGCCAUUUCUGACGCUGAGGCACGAAAGCUAGGGUAGCGAACGG